rnacentral:rRNA from 1 species
AUGUUUGGCACUGCUUUGUGCCCUGAUAAUAGUUGGCAAGCUUAUUCAUGGUGUUAUACGUUCUUCCCUGGAGGGGAAAAGUUUUAUACGGCAGGGAUUGCUGCUAUGUGCUGGGCGAUCUGGUCGUAUCGUAACAGGGUUACUUUUGGGUUCAAACCGCUUACAAACCCAUUUGAAUGUAUAUUCUCUGCCUGUGCUUUAAUUUGCUACUGGGCAGGAAUGAUGAAGCAAGAGGAUGCAGUUGCCAUGAGGGACGGGGCGAAGAUGCUGAAGGAGAAUGCGUCGAUGAUGAUGAGGAUCUGUGCUUCAAACCACGAAGAGGCGUCCCGUUGA